AGAGCCGCAUCUCGAAAAGGAGCCGAAAAUCCCAUCACUAGUGGGAUGGAAAUGGUCUUUAUGUGGUUCUGCUUGGAAAUAUAAACUAACGACAAUUUCCUUAAGUUGUUUUGAAAUAUAAAUGCUUGUCAAUCUCGUUCAGUUUGACUUUAAUAUCGCGCAUUCAGCCGAGCUACGAGAUGGAGGAAUGACAACUUCUCCUUAAAAAUUAUUGAUGUGCCACAAAGGUUCUCUCCAGCGCCUUCCUCUGGAGGUCCGAGAACACGGCCCGCCGCAGCAUGCCCCUCCUGGGCUUCCCCCGGGGGGCCAGGGGCCAAGAAAACGUUCCUGGGACUGGAACCACAGAAGAAGAGGAGGAGGAGGCUGCAGGGAAGAAAAACAAGAUCCCUUAUCAAAGGAAUAUGCACUCACAUAUGAACUGACCAGACGUCGGCGGCCUACCUGAGAAGUACGAGGCUCUGAUGAGAGGAUGAAAGUUUCCGUCAAAGAACGGCAGCGACUUCGUCUGAAGACUCUGAACUGAGGAAGAGGAGGAAGAGGAGUCCCACUCAGUCACAUGAAAAGGAUUAAAAUCAUCCAAUCAGCA